ensembl:lncRNA
UUGAGCUCAGCAGUCAGACGUGCGAGACGCGAGUGUAAAAGCUGGGUUAUACUGUCACCCUUCAUCUGAAGUCCUGUUAUGGGAGCGUUUGGUGUGUGAAGGUUUUCAGGAGACUAUAGGCUUCUUGAGAUGGUGCUUCGGUGAGGAGUGUUGCUGCUUGAGGUUUCCCAAGGGGACGCUACUGAGAAGCUGGCUCACCAAGUCCCGACCCAGACUGCUGCUGCUCAUCGCCGGCUUGAAGAGGCCUCAGGUCACCCUCAUGCGCAGGAAAAGGAUGAAACGCACGAAAGUAGCAAAGGCCACGUAAGCGCACCUGCAGUCGUAUGCCGCAUUUCACUUGAGUCGCUUGACACAGAGAGAAGCUCCAUCUGCCGUCGACAUGAAUGCAGACCCAGAAACAGAGAAAGCAUCUCAGUCGCCUCUGCCAAACAUACGAACUAAACGCCAAAGCAGAAGCGGUGCAGAGUUUGUUGUGAAAAUGAGGGAUCUUCCACAAAGAUCCAGACCCCCCGACUAAGAUCCGGAGCCUCCCAGUGACAUUUGUUCAUCUUUCUCUCAAAUACACUUCUGUCAUGCUUCUGUUCACUACACAGCGUGUGACAGCACAUUAUUGCUCUUGCCUUUGCUUGACAGUGCUUUCCUUUCCUGUGUUCUCUGGUCAGGAUUUCAGGGACUUUUAUUUUUCGAUUCCUAAUGAUGUGUGUGGGUGAAAAAGAACAAGAAAAUUAUGAAAAAAUAAAGAAAAACAUAUAAUUGCCAUGAGCUAGUAACCAACAGCACACCGGUGGUUUAUUCAUACUGUCAAGCAGUCAGACUGACAGCUGAUGGUCCAUUACUGUAUCCUGAGGAGUAAAAUAAUUCAUUUAAAUGUCAAUAUCCAAUGAAAAAAAUGAAAAAAAAAAUUAUAAGAGUUAUAUCAAUCCAAAUGGACCAUUAUGUGGCCCCUUUAUCAUUUAAUCCCCCCAAAAAAAGAUCAUAGAAACAUGAUGGAGUAUUUAUAUAUAUAAUACUCCAUCAUGUAUAUAAAGAAUCAAGCAGCUAUUUGACGUAAUUUAUAACUAAUUGUUUUUUUAUUGAACACGUCCACAUAAUUGUUAAUAAAAAAAUUGAUUAAUAAUUGUUAGGCGAAUCUCAUGAAGCAUGUCAAGUCUGGCUCAAACAUCACACAAAAUCCAUGGUAAAAAUAAGAAAUUAUAUUUUGCAUUAAGAAAAUGACCAUAUUUUAGGACCAUUAGGAGUUUUGUUUAAAUAUUUUACCACACAUUUUACCCCAAAAUUAUCAUUACUAAAAGGAUUUUCUUUUUUCUCAAUAGUUAUUCUCAUUACAUUCUCAUUAUUAUUGUACAAUAAUAAAAUUAUAUAAAAACAAAAGCUAGCAAGUAUAAAUACACAUUAUUUUUAAUUAUUUUAAUUUUAUUUUCUUUAUGCAAAAU